rnacentral:rRNA from 1 species
GGCUCAGGAUGAACGCUGGCGGCGUGCUUAACACAUGCAAGUCGAACGGUGAAGCAGGAGCUUGCUCUUGUGGAUCAGUGGCGAACGGGUGAGUAACACGUGAGCAACCUGCCCCUGACUCUGGGAUAAGCGCUGGAAACGGCGUCUAAUACUGGAUAUGUGACGUGACCGCAUGGUCUGCGUUUGGAAAGAUUUUUCGGUUGGGGAUGGGCUCGCGGCCUAUCAGCUUGUUGGUGAGGUAAUGGCUCACCAAGGCGUCGACGGGUAGCCGGCCUGAGAGGGUGACCGGCCACACUGGGACUGAGACACGGCCCAGACUCCUACGGGAGGCAGCAGUGGGGAAUAUUGCACAAUGGGCGAAAGCCUGAUGCAGCAACGCCGCGUGAGGGAUGACGGCCUUCGGGUUGUAAACCUCUUUUAGCAGGGAAGAAGCGAAAGUGACGGUACCUGCAGAAAAAGCGCCGGCUAACUACGUGCCAGCAGCCGCGGUAAUACGUAGGGCGCAAGCGUUAUCCGGAAUUAUUGGGCGUAAAGAGCUCGUAGGCGGUUUGUCGCGUCUGCUGUGAAAUCCCGAGGCUCAACCUCGGGCCUGCAGUGGGUACGGGCAGACUAGAGUGCGGUAGGGGAGAUUGGAAUUCCUGGUGUAGCGGUGGAAUGCGCAGAUAUCAGGAGGAACACCGAUGGCGAAGGCAGAUCUCUGGGCCGUAACUGACGCUGAG